GGGGUCGACUGGUUUUGACAGCGAGAUUAAUUAAACGGUAAGCACGUCGUGUAAUGGCAUUGAAACACGUUAAAGGCUAGACCAAAUUUUAAACGGCGAGAAUAACUACGCUUUAGCUGCAUAAUCUGAAUUAUAGUAAGAUUGGCCUAGGUACACAAGGUGUACAAGCUUUAUGUCUCCGGAAAGCCUUGAUUGACGGCGUUCCAUUUUGAGGCAUCGUAAAUGUCAAUAUAGAUUAGGUAGUACUUUGAUGCCUUUUUGAAACUAAAGAAGUUAAGUUAUAAGUGGGUUGUCUUUAACCAGCUUAUAAUCGAAAACCCAAGAAAAGAAUAAACGUGUAGAAAGCCCUUUGGUUACUUGUUUGGACGAGAGUUCGAUUCUCUCCGACUCCAC
rnacentral:tmRNA from 1 species